CUCUGAAACAGAUCCAAGAUGUUGUUUGAGCCAUGCAACUAGAAGAUCUCAUAGAACUAAAGUUAUCUAAUUUACAGAAAAGGUUUUACGUGAUGUUUGUUGUACAGAUUCAUAUGAAAACUGUAGUUCAAACUCCAAGGUUUAAGAAGUAAGAAAGAUCAUGCCAUUUGCAACAAACAUGCAUGCAUAUUUGAAAAGCAACUGUAAGUAUGCUAUUGGACAUUGGUAAAGAUUGAAUAUCUGACCAUGGCAUAUCAAGAAACCCUGGAAUGAGUACUGCUUAUCAAGAUCUGGGUAUGAGAAGACUUAAAAAGUCAGAUAGUGAGAACCAGCUAGAAUCCAUGAUCUGUUGUGGGAAAACUAGAAGACCAAAAAAAGCACAAAAUCAAGAAAGAAGUCUCUUUUCACAUGAAAGUGGCCUGAAGACAAAUACUGCUAUGAAUGGUUACAUCUAGGACUACUGAGAUUAGCCCCAGAUUCAACUCAUUUUUUUUUUCAUUUGCUCAGCAAUAUGACAUGUUUAUGCUGAUUAGCUAAAAAGUUAUGUGAGGAAUGGGCAACAAUAUCUCUAAGGCAAGAUAUGCUCAGAUCCGAUAUAGUUCAUAUAGACCUUGUCAGAGUAAAUGACCAUGUGCCUUUCAGAACACUAAAGAAUAAAGUCUUUCCACAUUAGAAUGACAAA
rnacentral:lncRNA from 1 species